rnacentral:lncRNA from 1 species
GUUCAGUUUACCGCACAAACAGUCAGUUGAACUUUGGAUAGAUUCCUGUUGUAAUCAUUUGCUGAUAGAGCUAUUUGUUAUGAUUUUUUGGGGGGGGCUGGUUCUCUUUUUUGUUGUGAUUUGGAAAUUGGAGGGAAUUACACAAUUUCUAUUUUUGUUGGAGAGUAUAUUUUUUUACCCUCCCACUCCACCUUGGAUGAAAAAAGUUAACAUUAGCCUGCUCUAUAAAAGCUGGAUGACUCUAGAAAGAGUGCAAAUCUCUGACAGACAACAGUCUGACAGAAUAAUGGCAGGAAUGAAGACAACUUUAGUUUGCCUCCUUCUCAUCUGUCUCCUUCAGGAUUCUUUGAGUAGACAUGGUAGCCAUGCUUUGAGACCUCGCAUCCAAAGAGAAUUAAAGGGGUCUAAAACUCGUGUAACGGAUAUACAAACAGUCCUCACAGAGUACAAUAUCUCCCUACCAGAUGGAUUCAUCGAUUAUGAAGUAGAUUGCACUGUUGUGAACAGAUGUUCUGGUCUGGAGGAGCAACUGGAUGAAACAAAAAGAAAAUUGCAGCAGAAAACCAGGCACGCCAUUCAACUGGAACAAGACGCGUAUAAUCUUCAAGCCACAGUGAGAAAGUUAAAAGUACAAUCUGGGACAUGCACCGUGAACAUAUCUGGUCAAAUUGAAAACUUGCAAUCUGAGUUGGAGGUUAAGAUGAGACAAUUGGAACAGAUAUCACAUGACAAAGGGAUUAUGGGUGAGUGGAGCUGGCUUGAUUGUUUUUGGUAUAAAUUAUUGACUACAGGUAGAAACAAUGUCACUCAUAUUUUUUUCCCAUUACAGUUCUUAGGAUCACAUUGCUUACCAGUGCAGUGA